UUAAAUUGAAGAGUUUGAUCAUGGCUCAGAUUGAACGCUGGCGGCAGGCCUAACACAUGCAAGUCGAACGGUAACAGGAAGCAGCUUGCUGCUUCGCUGACGAGUGGCGGACGGGUGAGUAAUGUCUGGGAAACUGCCUGAUGGAGGGGGAUAACUACUGGAAACGGUAGCUAAUACCGCAUAAUGUCGCAAGACCAAAGAGGGGGACCUUCGGGCCUCUUGCCAUCGGAUGUGCCCAGAUGGGAUUAGCUUGUUGGUGGGGUAACGGCUCACCAAGGCGACGAUCCCUAGCUGGUCUGAGAGGAUGACCAGCCACACUGGAACUGAGACACGGUCCAGACUCCUACGGGAGGCAGCAGUGGGGAAUAUUGCACAAUGGGCGCAAGCCUGAUGCAGCCAUGCCGCGUGUAUGAAGAAGGCCUUCGGGUUGUAAAGUACUUUCAGCGGGGAGGAAGGGAGUAAAGUUAAUACCUUUGCUCAUUGACGUUACCCGCAGAAGAAGCACCGGCUAACUCCGUGCCAGCAGCCGCGGUAAUACGGAGGGUGCAAGCGUUAAUCGGAAUUACUGGGCGUAAAGCGCACGCAGGCGGUUUGUUAAGUCAGAUGUGAAAUCCCCGGGCUCAACCUGGGAACUGCAUCUGAUACUGGCAAGCUUGAGUCUCGUAGAGGGGGGUAGAAUUCCAGGUGUAGCGGUGAAAUGCGUAGAGAUCUGGAGGAAUACCGGUGGCGAAGGCGGCCCCCUGGACGAAGACUGACGCUCAGGUGCGAAAGCGUGGGGAGCAAACAGGAUUAGAUACCCUGGUAGUCCACGCCGUAAACGAUGUCGACUUGGAGGUUGUGCCCUUGAGGCGUGGCUUCCGGAGCUAACGCGUUAAGUCGACCGCCUGGGGAGUACGGCCGCAAGGUUAAAACUCAAAUGAAUUGACGGGGGCCCGCACAAGCGGUGGAGCAUGUGGUUUAAUUCGAUGCAACGCGAAGAACCUUACCUGGUCUUGACAUCCACGGAAGUUUUCAGAGAUGAGAAUGUGCCUUCGGGAACCGUGAGACAGGUGCUGCAUGGCUGUCGUCAGCUCGUGUUGUGAAAUGUUGGGUUAAGUCCCGCAACGAGCGCAACCCUUAUCCUUUGUUGCCAGCGGUCCGGCCGGGAACUCAAAGGAGACUGCCAGUGAUAAACUGGAGGAAGGUGGGGACGACGUCAAGUCAUCAUGGCCCUUACGACCAGGGCUACACACGUGCUACAAUGGCGCAUACAAAGAGAAGCGACCUCGCGAGAGCAAGCGGACCUCAUAAAGUGCGUCGUAGUCCGGAUUGGAGUCUGCAACUCGACUCCAUGAAGUCGGAAUCGCUAGUAAUCGUGGAUCAGAAUGCCACGGUGAAUACGUUCCCGGGCCUUGUACACACCGCCCGUCACACCAUGGGAGUGGGUUGCAAAAGAAGUAGGUAGCUUAACCUUCGGGAGGGCGCUUACCACUUUGUGAUUCAUGACUGGGGUGAAGUCGUAACAAGGUAACCGUAGGGGAACCUGCGGUUGGAUCACCUCCUUACCUUAAAGAAGC
rnacentral:rRNA from 1 species